rnacentral:rRNA from 1 species
AACGAACGCUGGCGGCAGGCUUAACACAUGCAAGACGAACGGGUGUAGCAAUACAUCAGUGGCAGACGGGUGAGUAACACGUGGGAACCUUCCUAGGAGUACGGAACAACUCAGGGAAACUUGAGCUAAUACCGUAUACGUCCGUGAGGAGAAAGAUUUAUCGCCCUUAGACGGGCCCGCGUCGGAUUAGGUAGUUGGUGGGGUAAUGGCCUACCAAGCCUACGAUCCGUAGCUGAUCUUAGAGGAUGAUCAGCCACACUGGGACUGAGACACGGCCCAGACUCCUACGGGAGGCAGCAGUGGGGAAUCUUGGACAAUGGGCGCAAGCCUGACCCAGCCAUGCCGCGUGAGUGAAGAAGGUCUUCGGAUUGUAAAGCUCUUUUGCCAGGGACGAUAAUGACGGUACCUGGAAAAUAAGCCCCGGCAAACUUCGUGCCAGCCGCCGCAGUAAAAC